AGUGAACGCUGGCGGUAGGCCUAACACAUGCAAGUCGAACGGCAGCACAGUAAGAGCUUGCUCUUACGGGUGGCGAGUGGCGGACGGGUGAGGAAUACAUCGGAAUCUACUUUUUCGUGGGGGAUAACGUAGGGAAACUUACGCUAAUACCGCAUACGACCUACGGGUGAAAGCAGGGGAUCUUCGGACCUUGCGCGAUUGAAUGAGCCGAUGCCGGAUUAGCUAGUUGGCGGGGUAAAGGCCCACCAAGGCGACGAUCCGUAGCUGGUCUGAGAGGAUGAUCAGCCACACUGGAACUGAGACACGGUCCAGACUCCUACGGGAGGCAGAAGUGGGGAAUAUUGGACAAUGGGCGCAAGCCUGAACCAGCCAUACCGCGUGGGUGAAGAAGGCCUUCGGGUUGUAAAGCCCUUUUGUUGGGAAAGAAAAGCAGAAGGUUAAUAACCCGCUGUUAUGACGGUACCCAAAGAAUAAGCACCGGCUAACUUCGUG
rnacentral:rRNA from 1 species